rnacentral:rRNA from 1 species
ACUCUAAGCGGUGGAUCACUCGGCUCAUGGGUCGAUGAAGAACGCAGCAAACUGUGCGUCAUCGUGUGAACUGCAGGACACAUGAACAUCGACAUUUUGAACGCAUAUCGCAGUCCAUGCUGUUAUGUACUUUAAUUAAUUUUAAAGUGCUGCUUGGACUACAUAUGGUUGAGGGUUGUAAGACUAUGCAAAAUAAGUUGUUCAUAAAUUUCAUUUCAUGAUUUUUAUAAGCACAUGGUAUAUUAUUGGGUAUAAUAAUUAUUAAUUGUUAUAUUCAUAAUAUUAAAAAUUAUAUGAAAAACAUUAUUCUCACAUUGUUGUAAAUAUUUGAAUGUGAAAACGAAGAGAAAUAUUUUCUUUUUUUUUAAAUCAAAUAAUACUGAGAAAUGUCUAGCAUAAAAAAUGUGAAAAUAUUUUUCAUCUAGAAUUGUCUCUUAUUAAUGAUGCAAAAAAUCGAAAAAUGUUGCUAAUGUUAUUAUUCUUCGUUUGGUUUGUUAAAAAAUAUAACAAAUUUAAAUAUAUAAUGUUUUCUCUAUAUAAAAAGAAUUAAUGCUAAUAAAUGUUUUAUACAACCUCAACUCAUAUGGGACUACCCCCUGAAUUUAAGCAUAUUAAUUAGGGGAGGAAAAGAAACUAACAAGGAUUUUCUUAGUAGCGGCGAGCGAAAAGAAAUCAGUUCAGCACUAAGUCACUUUGUCUAUAUGGCAAAUGUGAGAUGCAGUGUAUGGAGCGUCAAUAUUCUAGUAUGAGAAAUUAACGAUUUAAGUCCUUCUUAAAUGAGGCCAUUUACCCAUAGAGGGUGCCAGGCCCGUAUAACGUUAAUGAUUACUAGAUGAUGUUUCCAAAGAGUCGUGUUGCUUGAUAGUGCAGCACUAAGUGGGUGGUAAACUCCAUCUAAAACUAAAUAUAACCAUGAGACCGAUAGUAAACAAGUACCGUGAGGGAAAGUUGAAAAGAACUCUGAAUAGAGAGUUAAACAGUACGUGAAACUGCUUAGAGGUUAAGCCCGAUGAACCUGAAUAUCCGUUAUGGAAAAUUCAUCAUUAGACUUGUAGUAUUUAAACAAUAUUAUGAUAAUAGUGUGCAUUUUUUCCAUAUAAGGACAUUGUAAUCUAUUAACAUAACUAAAUUUAUCAUAAAAUAUGGCUUAUAGUUUAUUCAAAUUAUUAUGCUUGCAUUUUAACAUAGAAUAAAUGUCAUUAAUUUGAUAAAGUGCUGAUAGAUUUAUAUGACUACAGUGCGUUAAUUUUUCGGAAUUAUAUAAUGGCAUAAUUAUCAUUGAUUUUUGUGUUUAUUAUAUGCACUUGUACGAUUAACAAUGCGAAAGAUUCAGGAUACCUUCGGGACCCGUCUUGAAACACGGACCAAGGAGUCUAACAUAUGUGCAAGUUAUUGGGAUAUAAACCUAAUAGCGUAAUUAACUUGACUAAUAAUGGGAUUAGUUUUUUAACUAUUUAUAGCUAAUUAACACAAUCCCGGGGCGUUCUAUAUAGUUAUGUAUAAUAAUAUUUAUAUUAUUUAUGCCUCUAACUGGAACGUACCUUGAGCAGAUAUGCUGUGACCCGAAAGAUGGUGAACUAUACUUGAUCAGGUUGAAGUCAGGGGAAACCCUGAUGGAAGACCGAAACAGUUCUGACGUGCAAAUCGAUUGUCAGAAUUGAGUAUAGGGGCGAAAGACCAAUCGAACCAUCUAGUAGCUGGUUCCUUCCGAAGUUUCCCUCAGGAUAGCUGGUGCAUUUUAAUGUUAUAUAAAAUAAUCUUAUCUGGUAAAGCGAAUGAUUAGAGGCCUUAGGGUCGAAACGAUCUUAACCUAUUCUCAAACUUUAAAUGGGUAAGAACCUUAACUUUCUUGAUAUGAAGUUUAAGGUUAUGAUAUAAUGUGCCCAGUGGGCCACUUUUGGUAAGCAGAACUGGCGCUGUGGGAUGAACCAAACGUAAUGUUACGGUGCCCAAAUUAACAACUCAUGCAGAUACCAUGAAAGGCGUUGGUUGCUUAAAACAGCAGGACGGUGAUCAUGGAAGUCGAAAUCCGCUAAGGAGUGUGUAACAACUCACCUGCCGAAGCAACUAGCCCUUAAAAUGGAUGGCGCUUAAGUUGUAUACCUAUACAUUACCGCUAAAGUAGAUGAUUUAUAUUACUUGUAAUAUAAAUUUUGAAACUUUAGUGAGUAGGAAGGUACAAUGGUAUGCGUAGAAGUGUUUGGCGUAAGCCUGCAUGGAGCUGCCAUUGGUACAGAUCUUGGUGGUAGUAGCAAAUAAUCGAAUGAGACCUUGGAGGACUGAAGUGGAGAAGGGUUUCGUGUGAACAGUGGUUGAUCACGAGUUAGUCGGUCCUAAGUUCAAGGCGAAAGCCGAAAAUUUUCAAGUAAUAAAAUGACUAUAUAUUACAAAAAUGCCAAUUAAUAUACUUGAAUAAUUUUGAACGAAAGGGAAUACGGUUCCAAUUCCGUAACCUGUUGAGUAUCCGUUUGUUAUUAAAUAUGGGCCUCGUGCUCAUCCUGGCAACAGGAACGACCAUAAAGAAGCCGUCGAGAGAUAUCGGAAGAGUUUUCUUUUCUGUUUUAUAGCCGUACUACCAUGGAAGUCUUUCGCAGAGAGAUAUGGUAGAUGGGCUAGAAGAGCAUGACAUAUACUGUUGUGUCGAUAUUUUCUCCUCGGACCUUGAAAAUUUAUGGUGGGGAUACGCAAACUUCUCAACAGGCCGUACCAAUAUCCGCAGCUGGUCUCCAAGGUGAAGAGUCUCUAGUCGAUAGAAUAAUGUAGGUAAGGGAAGUCGGCAAAUUAGAUCCGUAACUUCGGGAUAAGGAUUGGCUCUGAAGAUUGAGAUAGUCGGGCUUGAUUGGGAAACAAUAACAUGGUUUAUGUGCUCGUUCUGGGUAAAUAGAGUUUCUAUCAUUUAUGUUAGUUGCUUGUUCCCCGGAUAGUUUAGUUACGUAGCCAAUUGUGGAACUUUCUUGCUAAAAUUUUUAAGAAUACUAGUUGGGUCAAACCAAUUAGUUCUUAUUAAUUAUAACGAUUAUCAAUUAACAAUCAAUUCAGAACUGGCACGGACUUGGGGAAUCCGACUGUCUAAUUAAAACAAAGCAUUGUGAUGGCCCUAGCGGGUGUUGACACAAUGUGAUUUCUGCCCAGUGCUCUGAAUGUCAAAGUGAAGAAAUUCAAGUAAGCGCGGGUCAACGGCGGGAGUAACUAUGACUCUCUUAAGGUAGCCAAAUGCCUCGUCAUCUAAUUAGUGACGCGCAUGAAUGGAUUAACGAGAUUCCUACUGUCCCU